rnacentral:lncRNA from 10 species
CAGCUGGAGCUGGCACAUGGUCAGCUGUGAAUCGGAGGCUCCACCCUUGCCCUGGCUUCCUAGGCCUUAGGUUCUGGGGCUGAUAGAAUGGAGAACGCGAAUGAACCAAGGGAGCACCACACUCACCAGGAAAAGAGGAUAUUGGCUUUCGAUCUUGGAAACUCAGGCACAGAGAAGUUAAGCAACUUGCUCAAGAUCACACAGUCAUUAAGUGGCAAAACUGGGAAUGGAACCUAGGCAUUUUGGCUCGUCUUUCUCCUAACCAACACUAUUAGCAAAAAUC